rnacentral:rRNA from 1 species
AGCCUGAUGCAGCGACGCCGCGUGAGGGAUGACGGCCUUCGGGUUGUAAACCUCUUUCAGUAGGGAAAAAGCGUAAGUGACGGUACCUGCAAAAAAAGAGCCGGCUAACUACGUGCCACCAGCCGAGGUAAUUCCUAGGCGCGCGUUUCCGGAAUUAUUGGGCGUAAAGAGCUCGUAGGCGGUUUGUCGCGUCUGCCGUGAAAGUCCGGGGCUCAACUCCGGAUCUGCGGUGGGUACGGGCAGACUAAAGUGAUGUAGGGGAGACUGUAAUUCUUGGUUAGCGAUUAAAUGCGCAAAUAUCAGAAGGAACACCAAUGGCGAAGGAAGGUCUCUGGGCAUUAACUGACGCUGAGGAGCGAAAGCAUGGGGAGCGAAAAGGAUUAGAUACCCUGGUAGUCCAUGCCGUAAACGUUGGGCACUAGGUGUGGGGGACAUUCCACGUUUUCCGCGCCGUACCUAACGCAUUGAGGUGCCCCGCCUGGUGACCCACCCCGG